CUACUUGGGAGUGGAUAAGCCAGCAGACAGCUCAUCUUUACAGAAGAAUCUCCUUCCCUCAGAAGCUUAUUGACUUGUACCUAAUCAUGUAUCGCCCUUUGCAUUCAACUUUGUCUUGUGAGACUGAGCUCAGUUGUCAUCUCUUCUUGGAAUUGUUCUUUUUUGCUCUCACCAACAAUCCAACAGGCUGAUCAGACCACAUUCCAGAUCAUCAGACUACCUGCUUCCUGAAGAAACUGGAAAAAAAUUAAGGUUUUGGACAUUAUUCAAGCAAGGUGAAAAUAUGGAACAAAUUACAUGCAAGAAUCAAAACGGCUUUGGAUUCCAGUUUGCAUAUAAUUAACUCCAGAUUGACCAAUGGGCAGUGAAGGAAACCAUUCACUUCAAGAAGAGGAUUAUCACAGCCAUUAUUUUGCUCUAAGUAUAGCUGCUCUGUUUAGAAAAAUAAAGAAAAUAGGGGCUGAAGGGGUGGAU